rnacentral:rRNA from 1 species
UACGAAGGGGGCUAGCGUUGCUCGGAAUCACUGGGCGUAAAGCGCACGUAGGCGGAUUGCUAAGUCAGGGGUGAAAUCCUGGAGCUCAACUCCAGAACUGCCUUUGAUACUGGCGAUCUUGAGUCCGGAAGAGGUAAGUGGAACUGCGAGUGUAGAGGUGAAAUUCGUAGAUAUUCGCAAGAACACCAGUGGCGAAGGCGGCUUACUGGUCCGGUUCUGACGCUGAGGCGCGAAAGCGUGGGGAGCAAACAGG